CCUACGGGCGGCAGCAGUGAGGAAUAUUGGUCAAUGGACGAGAGUCUGAACCAGCCAAGUAGCGUGAAGGAUGACUGCCCUAUGGGUUGUAAACUUCUUUUAUAUGGGAAUAAAACGUUCCACGUGUGGGAUUUUGUAUGUACCAUAUGAAUAAGGAUCGGCUAACUCAGUGCCAGCAGCCGCGGUACUACGGAGGAUCCGAGCGUUAUCCGGAUUUAUUGGGUUUAAAGGGAGCGUAGGUGGAUUGUUAAGUCAGUUGUGAAAGUUUGCGGCUCAACCGUAAAAUUGCAGUUGAAACUGUCAGUCUUGAGUACAGUAUAGGUGGGCGGAAUUCGUGGUGUAGCGGUGAAAUGCUUAGAUAUCACGAAGAACUCCGAUUGCGAAGGCAGUUCACUGGACUGCAACUGACACUGAGGCUCGAAAGUGUGGGUAUCAAACAGGAUUAGAUACCCCAGUAGUC
rnacentral:rRNA from 1 species